UCCGCUGUGGCGACCCCUAACCGGGAAAAGGCCGAAAGACACAAACAAACAAAUAUACUGUCUUGGAGAUUGUCUUCUUAGUCUUAACCCACAGCUGUCGGGAUUUGGCGCAAGUCCCUACACUUUAUUAUCUAAACAUUCCAUCUUCCCAUAACUGUCCCAUCCCCCUCUUCAUGUCCUAUACCUGUGUUCCCAACGGAGCUUAGGUAGCCUCUCCCCUCCACCAAACAAAGUUUAUUUAUUCUGAGCGAACAUUUGGGCACCAUUUUUAAAUUCCCUUCACCUAUUCCAAGUGUCUCCAUGCAGCAUGCUCACAAUUUGAGGAGAUAUCUUAGAGAACAUCUUCCACUAUCAGAGACGAAUGAAACGGCUCCCCAGAUGAAUGGUUAAAUUGUACUUGCAAAGGCUGAGAUGACACUGCUUCUUGAGAAUGAAUGCAAAGCUAAUAUCAUUGCACUGCAUCUGUCCUCUUGCUGCACAGAAACAUCCAGUGCAGAAAUAACCACACUGCUAGAUUGUUGGCCAAAGUGCCUCUCUUCUUUGACUUCACAGAAGAAAACUCCAAAGAGAUGUGGACCCUGUACAGAGCCCUGAGGAAUAUAAACUCUGACCUUUGCUGGAUCAGCUUGAAAGUCUCCCACUUUAAAUUACUAUUUUCUCUAACCAUGGACAAAUAAUGACUAGUUAUAUUCAGAUUAUGUAACUUGUCAGUAAUUCCCACCCACAGGAAUGUACUGAAAGUCUUGGGUGUCAUGUAUGCAGUGAUCUCAUCAGUCACGGUGCUUAUUUUUUCUUAAAUAAUAUAGCAGUAUGACUUAGAAGGCAAGAUUUAGCCUUGAUGAAGGCAUAGCUAAUCUUGCUCAAAGAGAAAUCUUCCUUCAACCCCAUGCAAAAGGAUUCCUCUAGGAUUUUACAGAGUGUAUGUCUAGUUGACUGACCUGUGGUAACCAGGAUCGAUGGUUCACUGCCCUUCGUAGAUAGAAACCAUAGCUAUAGAGUGCCAGAGCCAGGUACUUAUUCCAUCUUUCAGAGGUUGUUUUGGAGUAUUGAUAGGGGUUUAACAAGACUGUCACUGUAUGUGCACAAAAAGUACAAGGAAUAUUGCCUGGACCCUUAGACCUUUUUGUUAAUUUUGUUCAAGGCUGAUAUAACCGUGCCUUCUGUAAUGGAAGACACUUCAUUAUUUAAACAUGAUAUUUCUGUCUAUUUCUCUGGGUUCUGAUAUUGGCAUGAAAUGUACUUUAUAACAUAUUGGAUAUUGAAUAUUUCUACUGGCUUGGAGAUCACUAUGUAGUCACCUAUCACAAUGCUGCACUCAUGAUUUUUUUUUUUUUUACAUUUGCUUAUAUUGUAUUAAAAUAUAACCUUUGCAUUUGUAAAAUGUGUAUUUGUGUGCUGUCCUCAAAGUUUGAUCUUAAAUUAUUUUCAUAGUUGGGUAUAUUUUAUGUUACAUGGUUUGAUGAAUCUUAUCAGCAACGUUUGGAUUUUACUUCUGCUAGCUUUUUUCCUCUGUUACACAGCUUGUUGAUUCUGCAGCUUCAGCACAAAGGUUUAGUUGUAAAUCUUCAUGUAUUUUGUGAGGUAAGGAUAUCUUUUAAAAUAUAAUAAUUAAUGACCUUCUAGUUAUUAUCCAUAGCAUUCAAUGAGGUUAUAUUGGAAGAAUAAAGGCUUGUA